rnacentral:rRNA from 1 species
CCUACGGGAGGCAGCAGUGGGGAAUAUUGGGCAAUGGAGGCAACUCUGACCCAGCAACGCCGCGUGAAUGAUGAAGGCCUUCGGAUUGUAAAGUUCUUUUCUAAGGGAAGAAGAAAGUGACGGUACCCUAGGAUUAAGCCUCGCCUAACAACGUGCAAGCAGCCGCGGUAAUACGUAGGAGGCAAGCGUUAUCCGGAAUGACUGGGUGUAAAGGGUGCGUAGGUGGUUUGACAAGUUAGUAGCGAAACUCCGGAGCUCAACCUCGGAACUACUACUAAAACUGUGGGACUUGAGUGCGGGAGAGGCAGGCGGAAUUCCUGGUGUAGGGGUGAAAUGCGUAGAUAUUAAGAGGAACACCGAUGGCGAAGGCGGAUUACUGGACUAUAACUGACGCUGAGGCACGAAAGCGUGGGGAGCAAACAGGAUUAGAUACCCGAGUAGUC